UAAUGCUUGGGAAUCUAGCUUAUGGAGGGGGAUAACUACGGGAAACUGUAGCUAAUACCGCGUAAUAUCGAGAGAUGAAAGUGUGGGACCUUCGGGCCACAUGCCAUAGGAUGAGCCCAAGUGGGAUUAGGUAGUUGGUGAGGUAAAGGCUCACCAAGCCGACGAUCUCUAGCUGGUCUGAGAGGAUGACCAGCCACACUGGGACUGAGACACGGCCCAG
rnacentral:rRNA from 1 species